ACCUGGCUGGCUCAGUCAGUAGAGAGAGCAUGUGACUCUUGAUCUCAGAGUUGUGAGUUCAAGUCCCAUGUUGGCUG
rnacentral:tRNA from 1 species